ensembl:lncRNA
UGGUGUGUGUUAGUGUGUGUGUGUUAGUGUGUGUGACUCCUGUAUUACUGUGUUCUCCAGAUAUACUGGUGUGUAUAGGGGCUGGUCUGGUGGUGGUGUGUGUAUAUGUGUGUGUGUGUUAAUGUAUGUGUUUUAGUGUGUGUGUGUGUGUGUGACUCCUGUAUUACUGUGUUCUCCAGAUGUAUUGGUUUCUAUGGGGGCUGGUCUGGUGGUGGUGUGUGUUAAUGUGUGUGUGUUAGUGUGUGUGACUCCUGUAUUACUGUGUUCUCCAGAUGUACUGGUUUCUAUGGGGGCUGGUCUGGUGGUGGUUUGUCUGUUGGUUCUCCUUCUCCUCAUAUUCCUCAGACAAAGGAACAGAUCAAAGACACAUACAGGUGCGUGCACACUGUCCGCUGGCUAGAGCUACAAAGAGGCCGUCUCUCAUUUCCAUUUCCAACGAGAGCCAGCGAAUCACGGCGACAGUGGGCGGAGCUACUCUCUGAGACAAAAUCUCCCAGCAACAGUUGAGAUGGGUUCAACUUUAUGCUAAUUUCCAGCUAGCGGGCAGUGACGGAGUUUGGCGACUACCAAUGGCAGGGCAGAUGUUCUCUUACCCUUCUCUUACUUACCUGCUAGCUAGAAACUCACAAGC